GAUGAACGCUGGCGGCGUGCCUAAUACAUGCAAGUCGAACGAACGCACGAGAAGCUUUCUUCUCUGCUGUUAGCGGCUGACGGGUGAGUAACACGUGGAUCACCUUCCUAUAUUACUUGGAUAAUUUCGUGAAACCGGUUCUACUACCGGAUCAUAUUUUCAACCGCAUGGUUCAAAAGUUAUACACGCUCUUGCUGUUACUUUUAGAUGGUUCCGCGCUGCAUCAGCUAGUUGGUAAGGUAACGGCUUACCAAGGCAACGAUGCAUAUCCGACCUGAGAGGGUGAUCGGGCACACUGGAAAUGAGACAAGGUCCAGACUCCUAAGGGAGGCAAGAGUAGGGAAACUUCCGAAAAGGGGGGAAGGCUGAAGGAGGAAAGACGGGGGAGUGAAGGAGGUCUUCGGAGCGUAAAACUCUGUUAGUAGGGAAGAAAAUAUAUGAGAGUAACUGUGCACAGCUUGAAGGGACCUAAUCAGAUAGGCACGGCUAAAUACGGU
rnacentral:rRNA from 1 species